CAUCACGCGUUAUAUAGGGAAUCGAUAAAACGAGUCGAGCUUGUGUGUGGAAACGUUCUAACAACAUUGUGGAACAAACCAGCGCGUCAAAAAUUGCUUCAAUUUUGUAAAUAUCGACAGGUUUUGUAACCCGUGAUU